rnacentral:misc_RNA from 1 species
GUCACUGUUUCUUGUUCUGCUGAUGCUUCUGCACAACUUGGUGGUGAUGAAAAGAUUGAGAAAUAUGCUUUUGUUAGUGUUCUAAUCAUACUAGUUAUGUUGUUUGGAGCUGUUUGGGUUGGUUUUCUGUUGAACUGAUUCUUGAUGCUUCCUUGAGAGCUUUGUCUAAAUUGUGCAAGAGGCUGUUUGUAGCCGGGUAGUAAAAAUUACUCAGC